GUGGGGAAUAUUGCGCAAUGGUCGAAAGACUGACGCAGCGACGCCGCGUGUGGGAGGAAGCCUUUCGGGGUGUAAACCACUGUCAGAGGGGAAGAAACACGGGUGCUCGAAUAGGGCAUCCGCUUGACGGUACCUUCAAAGGAAGCGCCGGCUAACUCCGUGCCAGCAGCCGCGGUAAGACGGAGGGCGCAAGCGUUGUUCGGAAUUACUGGGCGUAAAGCGCACGCAGGCGGCUCGCUAAGUCCUUUGUGAAAGCCCGGGGCUCAACUCCGGAACUGCAUAGGAUACUGGCGGGCUAGAGACUGGUAGAGGCUGGCGGAAUUCCUGGUGUAGCGGUGGAAUGCGUAGAUAUCAGGAAGAACACCUGUGGCGAAGGCGGCUAGCUGGGCCAGUUCUGACGCUCAUGUGCGAAAGCGUGGGGAGCAAACAGGAUUAGAAACCCGGGUAGUCC
rnacentral:rRNA from 1 species